UCCAUUAAAGUUUCAUAUCUAUAACUUCAGUGUGAAUUUCUGUAAACUGUCUCCUGUGUACACGAGCAAACUGAAUGUUCAGUAUUUGUAUUCUUAGUGAGACAGAUUAAAAUAUUUGAAAUAUCACAAUGGUGAUUGGUAAAAUUCUAAAAGAUGCAUUUUUAAAAGACCUAUAUAUUUGUUUAGGUAGAGGUGAUCUGUGAAGAAGCUAACUGAUAAAGGGAGGAAAAAAAAAUCUCCAAAUCUGCAGUCAGUGUCUGCUUGGCACUAUAAGGUCCCAAUCCGGAGGAGCCGAAGGAAGAUGAUUGACUGCAAUCUGACUGCAAUGAGCCCAACAGGAAGAGAGCAGCUCCUGUUUGCCAGCAGUGCCUUCAUUCUUGACAGUUCCUAGUCAUUGGUUUAGGUCCUUAUUGAAGGUGAUACUGAGGAACAGUGACUGAGGAUGGAGAUGGGGCUUACUGAGAGCCACUGCUUCCUUUUGCCGUUUACUCUGCAACCUUGCUCCAUAUGUUCUGUGUCAGCUUCCUGCUUCCCUCCAUUGUGCUCCUGAGUGUGCUCCUGUGAGGUAAAUAUUCAGUGAGGUUCAGAGUUAGUUGACUUAUAGCUUAAACAUGAUUGUAUAUUAAGACUAUUUAUCAGAAAACUUCUUGUGUCAUCAAAAGAUGGAAAAUGAUGAAUGUGCUCUACAGUGCCUGUCUGUAUGCUCAGUCAAAGGCAGCUGGCAUUUUACCUCAGUACAGAUUGCAGAAUCCAUCUACAUGAAAGAAAGAUUUCAGCAUCUCACUUUAAGCUUGAAGAAUCAGGACUGGAUUUUCUAUCCUAUUUCUCACCCUAUCUACUUCAGUGACCUAAGGUAGAACAUUUUAUACCAUGGCUUUCAAAAUGACUGAUAAUUUUGGUGCCACACAGCCUGAUGUUAAGACAUGUUCAGCUCCAAUUUCCAGCUUAAAAAUUGAAGACUAUAUUUGAAAAUUGCCUCUGGCCCAAUAUCCCUGUUUGUAAUAAGGAGUUAGCUUAUUUCCCAAGAAUGCUGAGAAUUUAAUUACAUAAUGUCUGUAAAGCAAUUCCAAGAAAAGCACUAUAUAAGUGUUAAGCAUUAUAAUUGUAUUAAAUGUGUAUGCCCAGUAUUGCAGAGAAGGGAUGUGAUUAUCUAAUAAACAAUGACCUCUCAUCACCAGCAAUAAAAGACUUUGUGAAGACCACAAUGUUUUGCUGGAAUAGGAUGAAUUAAAUGUCAAGAAUAUCAAGCAGUGCUUUCUAAGUUUUAAUUGCACAGAAGGUUAAAAGAAUUUCUGUUAAAACAUGCAUUGUCCAAUCAGAGUAUUCUCAGUACUAAUGUUUUUACAAAUACUGGUACAGAUAUUAACUGGAAGAGCUAAUUUAAGGCUAUCUACUCUCACCAGUACAGCUUUAGAUGAAUGAAAUUUAAUCUGACCCUCAAGAGUCAGUGUAGCCGAAUAGCAACAAUGAAAAAUGCAUGAGAACAGCAAUUUCAAUAUGGCUAUUUCACAGACAAGCUUAUUUUAUGCAUCAAUAGCAAAUAAAUCAAGAAAUUGGAUGGUCUUUCUGAAUGUCUUUCACUGUUCUAAGUAAAUCCAUCUAGCUAGCGUAACCAUCAGUUCUAAAGAUUAGAGAGUAAACAGAGAAGGAAUAUUGAUUGAUUGCUUUAUUUGGGAUGGAAUUCUUAACGUCACCUUUGUCAGCAAUUUAGCUUAUGGGGGUGAGACUUACUAUCUUGUUCCUAUAAGCUUAACUGCAAGAUAUAUUAAUUGCUAGCAUCUGGAUUUCACGGAUUAUCUAAACAGAAACUCCAUCUUAAAAAAAAUACUUGUGCAAACUUUACUCAAAUACCAUGGUCCAAAAAAUAACUAUUGAUCAUUAGCAACAGCUUGUUGUACAGCAUUUCUAGAAGGGCCUAAUGAAGUGUUUUGAAAAGAUGUCUACAGAAUUUACU